rnacentral:rRNA from 1 species
UACGUAUGGAGCAAGCGUUAUCCGGAUUUACUGGGUGUAAAGGGAGUGUAGGUGGCAUCAUAAGUCAGAAGUGAAAGCCCGGGGCUCAACCCCGGGACUGCUUUUGAAACUGUGGAGCUGGAGUGCAGGAGAGGCAAGUGGAAUUCCUAGUGUAGCGGUGAAAUGCGUAGAUAUUAGGAGGAACACCAGUGGCGAAGGCGGCUUGCUGGACUGUAACUGACACUGAGGCUCGAAAGCGUGGGGAGCAAACAGG